rnacentral:tRNA from 1 species
UGCGCAGGUAGCUCAGUCGGUCAGAGCGCCGUCCUUAUAAGACGGAUGUCGCGGGUUCAAUCCCCGUCCUGCGCACCCA